CACACCGACCCGUCACACCAUGGGAGUUGGCUUUACCUGAAGACGGUGCGCUAACCCGCAAGGGAGGCAGCCGGCCACGGUAGGGUCAGCGACUGGGGUGAAGUCGUAACAAGGUAGCCGUAGGGGAACCUGCGGCUGGAUCACCUCCUUUCUAAGGAUGAUCCUUCAGCGAGCUCACGCUCACUAUCGGAUCGUUUUAGAAACAUCAGUGGCCAACAGAUCGCCAGAUCGUUGAGCUGCAUUGGCGGGAUUUCGCCGUCUUCGUUUCUCUUUCUUCGCGGACGAACACGCGCCGGGGCUGCGCUGUGCGAUUGCAUCUGCGCUGGUCGCCGAUGCAUGCACGCAAGACCCUAGUCCUGAAAAGGAUAGCGUUAGGGCUUGGAACUCAAUUGGUUAGAACGCGCGCUUGAUAAACGUGAAGUCCGAAGUUCAAGUCUUCCCAAGGCCACCACUUUCAUCCAGUGAACAUUCCUCUUCUGGUUACGGGGCCAUAACUCAACUGGGAAAACGCGUGCUUUGCAAGCAUGAAGUCCUCCGUUCCAUCCCGUCUGGCUCCACCAAAUGGUUUGAUCACCGAAAUCAUGUACCGUCCUCCGCCAAACAUCACUUCGCAUUCACUAAUCUGGAUAGACCGUGAACUGCGUGGUUUCUGACAUCCUAAAGAAGAAAACCAUCCCAAUUGGGUCCUGCAACAUAUCGUUGCGCCAGCCUUCAUUAUCUCCGGAUCAUUUUCGGCGCUCGCUUUCAGCCGUGAGGUUGAAUGCGAGUUGUAAAAUGAUCCUUUUAGCGAAGCUUGACCGCCCUCGCUAUCGGAAACGAUCUUACGAAGCAAGCUGGGUCUUUCUAGUCAAUGUCCGGGCUGUACGUAGCAUUCAUCGAAGGGUGCGCGCCCCCAAGGCAAUCGUACGGACAACAUUUCU
rnacentral:misc_RNA from 1 species